rnacentral:sRNA from 1 species
AAGAAGUUAACAAGGCACUAUCAAAUCAGUUUAUUUCCCUUACUAAGAGAGACUUUGUGGACAGAUCAAAAGAUAGACAAAUUAUUGAUCGCUUUAUUCGUACUCACUGUGACACUAACAAAAAGAAGAAAUGAAAAGGGAAAAUAGUACAAAUGAAGAAAAUCUGAAAAUCAAUGGAAGCACGAGGACAUUCCUAGUCAUUUUCUCAAUUAUCAAGGAAAAAUAAGAUGCAAAUAGCUUCAAGUAUGUUGUGAUAGUCAUGAAUUUGUGUCUUUUGCUUCCCUUUAUUUUUAAACAAUAAAAUUAAGGCUACAAAAUUUCCCCUGAACAUAGCUUUAGCUGUAUCCAAUAGGUUUUGAUACAGUGUUUUUUUUCUUUUCCCUUUUGGAUACUUAAUUUGUAGUUUCAAUUUUGAUUUCUCUUGUGAACUAGGAAUUAUGUGGAAGAGAUUUCUUAAUGUCCCAGUAAUUAGAGACUUAAGAAAUCAUUUUAUUGCCUUAUCUCUUCUUUGAAUGAAUGAAAGUUUAAAAAUCUGCUUUUGGGAAAUCAAUUGCAGUUUUAUUUAAUACCAUUAAUCAAGUAUAUGAUUAAUUUGUGUGUUACAUGAAUAUAAGAGAAAUUAUAGUUUAUUGUAUUUUUUAAUCCCUGUAUCUUUAAUUGUCUACUUGAAUUGUUCAAUUCUGAAAGAAUAUUGGAACCUCCCACAAUAAAUAUAUUUUUAUCAA